UGCCAAAUAUAUUGGAAACAAAGGUAGAA
rnacentral:piRNA from 1 species